rnacentral:rRNA from 1 species
AGUGAACGCUGGCGGUAGGCCUAACACAUGCAAGUCGAACGGCAGCACAGUAAGAGCUUGCUCUUACGGGUGGCGAGUGGCGGACGAGUGAGGAAUACAUCGGAAUCUACUUUUUCGGGGGGGAUAACGUAGGGAAACUUAUGCUAAUACCGCAUACGUCCUACGGGUGAAAGCAGGGGAUCUUCGGACCUUGCGCGAUUGAAUGAGCCGAUGUCGGAUUAGCUAGUUGGCGGGGUAAGGGCCCACCAAGGCGACGAUCCGUGGCUGGUCUGAGAGGAUGAUCAGCCACACUGGAACUGAGACACGGUCCAGACUCCUACGGGAGGCAGCAGUGGGGAAUAUUGGACAAUGGGCGCAAGCCUGAUCCAGCCAUACCGCGUGGGUGAAGAAGGCCUUCGGGUUGUAAAGCCCUUUUGUUGGGAAAGAAAAGCAGCAGGUUAAUACCCCGCUGUUCUGACGGUACCCAAAGAAUAAGCACCGGCUAACUUCGUG